rnacentral:rRNA from 1 species
UCUUCGGAGUUAGUGGCGGACGGGUGAGUAACACGUGGGAACGUGCCUUUAGGUUCGGAAUAACUCAGGGAAACUUGUGCUAAUACCGAAUGUGCCCUUCGGGGGAAAGAUUUAUCGCCUUUAGAGCGGCCCGCGUCUGAUUAGCUAGUUGGUGAGGUAAAGGCUCACCAAGGCGACGAUCAGUAGCUGGUCUGAGAGGAUGAUCAGCCACAUUGGGACUGAGACACGGCCCAAACUCCUACGGGAGGCAGCAGUGGGGAAUCUUGCGCAAUGGGCGAAAGCCUGACGCAGCCAUGCCGCGUGAAUGAUGAAGGUCUUAGGAUUGUAAAAUUCUUUCACCGGGGACGAUAAUGACGGUACCCGGAGAAGAAGCCCCGGCUAACUUCGUGCCAGC